AGUCCUUUCAACUUCCUUUUUACAAGCUGCCAAAUUUUGCUGAUUUUCCGUGUAUGAAAUGUCGAAAAUGUUAUAUUUAUUCGGUUUUCAUUAAUAAACUUCAAUUAUAUUAUUCGCCACAUGCAGUUUUGAUCACAAUUAUUUUACGGUUUUAGUUUGAGUGAAUUUUUUGUUGUAUUUUUCCGUACUGCCGCAACUCUAAGCGGGUAAAUCGAGCAUGACAAUAAACGAAACAAUCGGCUCGGAUUUGAAACGCAUUGCUAAACUUGUUUACGGCAACAACAAAAACACACACUAGCACACGCGGCCGGAGCGGAAACUCUGAUCAGAACAGCGGCAGAACUCUCCAAUUGCAAUUGCGGCAUCCAAUCGGAAGGCCGACGAUCCAACAGCGAGCAGGGCAAACAAAAGACUAAAGCCAGCUUCAAGUUGGAAGUUGCCGCUGCGCCAAAAGUUGCUGCCGUCGGGCAACAACAGCAGCAACAACAGCAACAAUGGCCACAACGACAACGAUCGACCGAUCGUGUCUACCGAUAGCAAUUGUACGAGUACACUGAGCAUAAAAGGGGGUUAAAAGUACUUUGAUACUAUGGUAUCUAAAUUACCCAACCAAUCCCUAACGUAUGGAUUUAUAGGUAUAUAAUUUAUAAGAAACUAAGGUUUUAAUAGCUAAAGAUAACAAUCUUAUUUAACGUUUGCAGAAUUAUUAGAUUACUUUGACUAAUAAUAAUAAAAUAAAAAAAUUAAAAAUAGAAAGUGAUAAAAUUGUUGUUAAAGAUAGCUCAAAUAUACACAAAUUUGAUAACGUACACAAAUUUAGGCAUUACACAUAUAAAAGUAUCUUUAUUUCUCCCGGUGUAUCUGUGAGUGGUUCGGGGCGAGUGUGCUUGUGUGUUUGUGUGGGUGUUCGCAGUGCAAGAGUCGAAGCAAAGAACCAGCAACAACAGUUACGAGUACUGCUGAAAAGGGAAAGGGCGAUCGGCUUUGUCAUUGCGAAAAGAGAGGGAGCGAGUGAGAGAGAUGCUAGACGGAGAUAUAUCAACAAGUCAAUGCCAAAUGUUUUUUUUUGUUUUUAUUGUUUUUUUUAGUACCAGACUAAUUAACCUAUUAAUAGGACACCAAUACGGGAUAGGGUCUUUAAAAGAACGUCGCAGACCAGAAAUCUCUACUCUUAGAGCAGAAAUUAAAUAUAUAGGCCUAUACUUUCAAAAAUAAUAGGUACAAUUGCAUUAUUUAAAGUGUUAUGAGCUGUGUGGUGGAUAUACAUAUAUCACAUAAGCACUUAUAAAGUUGAAUGUGAUUUCACACAUGAGUUGUUUUCAUUCGGUUACUGGUUUUUGUGCUUAUAAAUGGAAAACUGCCAAUGAUUUAUUUGCUAACCAAAUCUAUAUGAAUUAAACUUUUUUCCAUUUCCGUUGCAUACUUUCAGACACUCUUUUUGCGAUUACAAAACAUCGGCGAUUUGAAGAAAUCGAACACAGUUAACUGGGUUAAGAAAAGUAAGUGGCACAUAGAACAUAGAAACUAUGAUCUCAAAAAUUACAGGUAAUUAAGAACUCAAAGAGUUUCUAAUUCUCGAUGGACCAGUCCACUGCCCAACUAUCCGCACUGAUUUCUUACUAUUCCGCAUAAUGUGCAGUGAUCACAGCACUCGUACCUUAAUGACAGAAUCUGGUGGCCAAUGAACACCUAUGUGUGUUGCACAGGUAAGGAAAGUUGGCAAUGCAGGUGCCGUUAUAAGCAAUGCAAUGGUCAAGAAUUGGCCAUGAGCUCGUUCGUAAUAAUGAUGAAAAGCGCGCAAAGCACGGAAAUGCCAUAGAAAAUUGCUUAAUGAACCGUUUCGCAGCGCGUCUGCUCCAAAUGGCCAUCAUGGCCAUAGAAUCUCUUGUUCGUCACCCAACCAGUCCAAUGGAUCACAGUGGACCGAGCCAAUCCGAAUCCAAAACCGAAACCAAACCAAACCAAGUCACAGAGCAAGUUCAGUGCCAUUAGGCAAACUGGCGGCGCUGAGUAUAUGUAUUUCCACAUAUCCACAAACUAUUCCCCGGCCGUCCAUAAAAGUGUUUAAAUAUGUAUAAACACAGAAACACUUCACAUAUCUCCCGGCAAACACGAGAAUAUUUAUUGCGUAGGAACCGAGAGAUACUGAAUGCGGCACUUCAAAUUGCGAUUCGAAUCGGGAUCUGAAAUCGAAAAGGGGGCGAGAUGGCUAAGGGGAUGCGGAUUGGAGUCGUCUCGAUGACUUGGGAUGAGGGGCCAAGUUUAAUGGUUGCAGAAGAAAAAGUUUAAGAUGAGAUUGCAUUUGAAAUUGGACGAGCCAGCGAACGAGUCAGGUAAAUCAAACCAGAUGCAAAUAAAUGGAGGCAAAGAAAAAUAUUCAAAACACUUCAAUCAAAGUUGCUCGGAUAAUGAGGCAUCUAUUGGAAAUGCGCUGCAUAGAAAAAUCACAAGAAUCAUUACAAAAUGUGAAAAGUCUAAA